AUUCGCCCUUAGAGUUUGAUCCUGGCUCAGGACGAACGCUGGCGGCGUGCCUAACACAUGCAAGUCGAACGGGACUUAUUGGAAUGCGGUUUCGGCCAAAUGAAAGUAAGUUUAGUGGCGAACGGGUGAGUAACGCGUGAGGAACCUGCCUUUCAGUGGGGGACAACAGUUGGAAACGACUGCUAAUACCGCAUAACAUGUUAAGAUCGCAUGAUUUUGACAUCAAAGCUUAAUGUGCUGAAAGAUGGCCUCGCGUCUGAUUAGCUAGUUGGAGGGGUAACGGCCCACCAAGGCGACGAUCAGUAGCCGGUCUGAGAGGAUGAACGGCCACAUUGGGACUGAGAUACGGCCCAGACUCCUACGGGAGGCAGCAGUGGGGAAUAUUGGGCAAUGGGGGAAACCCUGACCCAGCAACGCUGCGUGAAGGAAGAAGGCCUUCGGGUUGUAAACUUCUUUUACCAGGGACGAAGGACGUGACGGUACCUGGAGAAAAAGCAACGGCUAACUACGUGCCAGCAGCCGCGGUAAUACGUAGGUUGCAAGCGUUGUCCGGAAUUACUGGGUGUAAAGGGCGUGUAGGCGGAGCUGCAAGUCAGAUGUGAAAUCCCGGGGCUCAACCCCGGAACUGCAUUUGAAACUGCAGCCCUUGAGUAUCGGAGAGGCAAGCGGAAUUCCUAGUGUAGCGGUGAAAUGCGUAGAUAUUAGGAGGAACACCAGUGGCGAAGGCGGCUUGCUGGACGACAACUGACGCUGAGGCGCGAAAGCGUGGGGAGCAAACAGGAUUAGAUACCCUGGUAGUCCACGCUGUAAACGAAGAAUACUAGGGGUGGGAGG
rnacentral:rRNA from 1 species